rnacentral:rRNA from 1 species
GUUGAACGCUGGCGGCGUGCCUAAUACAUGCAAGUCGAGCGAACAGACGAGGAUCUUGCCUCUCUUACGUUAGCGACGGACGGGUGAGUCACACGUGGCUACCUGAUCUAUAGGACUAGCGUCACUUCGGGAACCCUGAGCUAGUAUCGGAUAUUAGAUUGAACCGCAUGGUUCUUCAGAGCUCGAGCUUUUUGCUGUCACUAGUACAUGUUACCUGGCCGCAUUAGCUAGUUGGUAAGGUAAAGGCCUACCAAGGCGACGAUGCGUAACCGACCUGAGAGGAUGAUCAGCCACACUGGAACUGAGACACGGUCCAGACUCCUACGGGAGGCAGCAGUGGGGAAUCUUGGGCAAUGGGCGAAAGCCUGACGCAGCAACGCCGCGUGAGUGAUGAAGGUCUUCGGAUCGUAAAGCUCUGUUAGUUGGGAAGAACAAAAGUGAGAGUAUACAUUCCCGUCUUGACGUUACCUACAGAGAAAGCACCGGCUAACUACGUG